rnacentral:lncRNA from 1 species
UGUAUGUAUGUUGUUACAGGGUGGUUAACUUCGCCAGCGGCCCCCUUUCCCGGGGCAGUCUCUGCUCUCCCCUGCUAGAGGGGCACCCUAAUCCGUUACCCCAUCCGACUUAAGAAUGUAUUCGUUGGGUUCGGCAACUCACCACCAGCAUCCAACCAAAUCUAGGGGAUCAACGGGGCAUCAACUUAGUUCCUGGUCAGCUCGCAAGUUGAUAUUAUCACGUCCUACAUCGUCCGUAUGAUGGGGGCCACCUCUCAUUUCAACACUCCUCAAACACCCGAUGAGCCGGCAGGCGGAUUUGAAUUCGGGUCGGCCGGGAGCAGAAGUCAGGCCUUAACCUUUGCCAGCCGCCUGCCUGCAUAUGUAUGUAUGUAUGUAUGUGUAUUUGACCGCAGGCGGCGGGCCGGGAGAUGCUCCGAGUGCAGGGCCCAACUGGCAUCCAGGUGCGUGAGUGUGUGCGAGUGUGAGUGAGUGAGUGAGUGAGUGAGUGUUAGUCAACGCUAUAAUUAAUUUGUCCGCACUCAGUCAGUCAGUCAGGUUGGUCCCUAUAGUUGGAAUGGAAUUACAAGUGAUCCGAUUUCUUCUAGUUUAAAUGGUGUGUGUGUGUUGUGUUUGAGAUGUGAGGGGAAAAAGGUCAUUUGCUUCAUUCCCAAUUUGUUUCCUUCCAAAGCUCCAAGACCUCGUCUACGUUAUUGCUCUCUGGUUCCGCCGCAGGCGCUCGUCGCGCUGCUAAAUGGCGGUUCCGGAGCCGCAGCCGUGGAGGCUGCCGUACGCGCCCUGGCGGCCCUCACCGGCCAUCCCACAUUGCGUCUGGGUCUUGUUGCCGCCGGAGCUACCGAGGGCCUUAUGUCGCUAGUGGAGAGGUCGGGGGGGCCUUUGCUGGCGGCGUGGAUACCAGACCCGCUACCUGGCGGCGGCGGCGGCGGCGGCGGAGGUAAAGGCGGAGGGAGCCCUAGGAUUGGUGGCGGCGGCGGCGGUGGCGGCUUGGUUGCCGCCACGGCGCCGUACAACAACAUUAUGGAGCUGGCAUUGCUGGCGCUGGUGAGGUGCAUUCGUAGCUACGCAGGAGGGGGUGGUGGCGGCGGUGGUGGCGGCGGCGCCGCCAGGGCGACGGCGCCGGGAGGUGGCGGCGGCGGCGGUGGAAGCGGCGGCGCAGGUGAACUUCCUGCAGCUGUGUUGCAGCUUCUGCUUGAUGUGGCGGCGGUGCCGGUCUCUCCUUCUCCGCCGCCGCUACAGCCGCUACAGCCGCGGGGUUUCCCGCUACUGCAACCUCCCAUGACGGCUUCGCCGCCAGCGGCGGCGACUCUAGCCGCAGCACCGGCGCCGGCGCUGGCGGCGUCGAUGGUGCACUCAGGCUUUCUGGACUCGGACGGGACGGCGCAGCAGCCUCCCGCACGUGCCAUGGCGGUGGUCGAGGCGACGGAGGUGCGGCUGGUGUGGGGCUGGUGUGUGGCUGGGUUUGCGUGCAUUGGGCCCCCCGCUACCCCGUCAUGUGCAGAGCCACACAUGAAACACACACAGAGACAGCCGGGCAUCAUCACGCCCCGACAAAUAUAAUAUGGAUAUACAUACAUCGUCUAGGAACCUGUUUUGCCAGGUAGGAACUUCUUCUAUUACUCCGUCAGUGACAGUUGAUACAAGGUCCUUGGAAGUAUUAGUUUGGUCUCCUAUCUCCUCUAAAUGGCCUGAUGUAUCUCACUGAGAGUCAUCAGGCGAAAUGUGCUCCUUCCGACCCUCUCUACCUGGGCCCCACCGACAUUUAAAAUUCCUUGCUCGUAUCCGCAACAUAAGAGAGUUCACCGUGCCGCCGCCACACCGGUGUACGAAUACCGUAACUAAAUAUAUUGUAUUAACGUUUUUGCCUGGUCCUGGUCCAUAGGUCUAUGUUGCCUAAUCGGGCCCUGGUCCAUAGGUCUAUGUUGCCUAAUUAGGCCCGAGGCCUAGUUUGGGUUUUAUUUUAAUAAAUCUUCGCGUUGCCUGUCUAAAAAAUGUAUGUCUGUUGCCUGAUCAGGCUCUGGCCGACAUGGCCCGCGAUGCUCCCGGAGCGCUGAGGUUGAUGACUUUCGCCGGGCACCUGGUGCUGCUGCAGCGGCUGCUGGCUGCGAUGGUGAGGGGAGGGAUGGAAAUGAUUAUGUCUCUGUGUGUAGGCGCGUGCGUGUAUGUGUGUGUGUGUGGUGGUGGGGGGAGGGGGGAGUAUUACGAGGAUGGAUGGGUAGAUUCAGUACAUCGGAACGGCAGAAAAACAAGGUUCGAUGGUUUGUGUAUUUCAUUUCAUGUCAAGUACCACUGUUGCGAAGAGGGGUUUCCCGUGGAGAGGAUUUUGGAAAUCUCCUAGGGUAUUGCGGUGGUGAUUUGGAUGUGGGGUUUUGGGGGAGGGAGUAGCUGUCGGGGGUUUGAUCUGUUGGGGUCAUAGUCAAAGAACUCAUCAUACAUAGUCGUACGGGCCCUUCCGGGACAGUACGGCACAUUGGGAUCCAUCCUAACUCCCGGAAACCCCCCUCCUGCCCUCCUUACCCCGAACACCCCGGCCAGCCUGCUGCACAUGUACCACCCACACCACCUCCUCCCCCCUCCUCCACCGCCACCACCGCCUCCGCCGCCGCUGCCGCUGCCGCCGCCGCAACAUCAUCACCUCCACCCCCACCCACAUCGCCAACUCCAACCCUGGAGCCAUUCCGCCGGCGGCAACUGGACUCAUGUCUGCGGGGCCUGGCGCGUCUAGCCAUGGCCGCCCCCUCCCACCCUGACCUCCGUCUUGCUCGCACACAUGAAGUACUGCUACAUGUACUGCUGGCGUUGGGACUGGCGGACAAACCCGGGUGGUGGGCGUUACAGGUAAGCGUCAAGUGCGGCGCGGGGUGGGUGGGAGGGUGGGAGGGAGGGAGUUAAAGGAAGGUGGAGGCUGUACGGAUGUCGUACGAGCUGGGCAAAGGCUGAGCUGACAGAUCUUACGGUCGCCAUCGUCAUCGUUGACAUUGACGUUGACGGUGUCGCCACCGCCGCCGCUGCCGCAGGGACUGUGCGCCCUGGCGGCCGACGCCAGCUGCGCGGCUGACCUCGUGGCUGCCGGCGUGUUGCCGCCGGUGGUGGCGGCGCUGAGAGGACUGGCGGCGGCGGCGGCGGCGCCUCCGCCACGCCGCCGCAGUGCCCCGGGUGGCCACCGCAGCUCUAACAGAAGCAACGUGCCGCCGCCGGUGACGUCGUCGCCGACGGAACCGCCGCCUCCGCCACCACCUCGCGCCCUGAUCAGUAUUGACGUCAGCACCGCCGGCGCCGCCGGCGCCGGCGCCGCCGCCACCGCCUCUGGCAGCGGUCCCAGCACCUCCGAACGCGACAUCGAGGUGGCCCACUUGUUGGGCUUGCUUCUUCAGAAUGUCGCGGGACAUAAGGCCCUCGCCCGAGUGGCCGUAUCUGAGGGAGCAGUCCCCGCCAUAUGCGAGGUAGGGGGAACGUUGGGAAUGGAAGCGGUGGAUGUGGGGCUUGAUUCUGCAUCGGAAAAUAAGCAGUGCCGAUAUGUGCUUUCCCCGCCCAAUACACCGCCCCAACUGCCCCAACUGCCCCAACUGCCCCAACUGCCCCAACUGCCCCAACUGCGCGAACCAGAAAGGUCAUGCAUGCAACUGCCCCAAGCAGCUUCAAAGCAGACUCGGAAAACCUUGCCCUCGGAAACCGCCCAAGUAAUCUUGGUUGGAAAACUCACACACAAGGUCUUGGGGGUUUAUCGGACAUGUAUGUAUGUUUGUCGCCGUCGUCGUUUCUGCACUCACGAGGCGGUGCACUCCCGAGCAUCCUUAUCAAGAUGAUGAGCACAGUCUGUAUGGGGUACGUGGGCUAUGCGCUAUGUUGGUGCCGCCCAUUCCCAUUCCUGUCGUUUAAAAGAAAAAGAAUAUCUUCUUCUACAGAAUUCGAAUAUUCCACACGAAACCUAAUCUCUCCGGCAUCGCCUUUCCUCUUUCCUCCUACACCGCCCGCACCCUCCCCCCUUCCCUCCCCCCUUCCCUCCCUUCCGCCCCCCCCAGUGGCUGGCGGUAUGUGCCGCAAGUGAUGACGUGGAGGGUGCCGUACUUUGCUGCGCCACGUUGUGCUUGCUGGGGGACGGCGACCCCGGGGCGCUCGUGGAGAUGGUCCAUGCGGACGGGGUCGACACCCUGGUGGAGCUGCUGCACCCCCGCUGGGCUACGGCCGCCCUGGUGCCGUCCACGGUGGCGGCGGCAGUAGCAGUAGCGUGCCGCUGGCCGGCCUCCGCGCAGGCGGUUCGUAUGGCGGCGGGGAUACCGGCCCUGGCGGACACCCUCCGGGGACCCCACGGCCUGGCGUGUUGCCGCCCCGUCGUGAGCGCGCUGGUGGACUUGAUCGCAAACGACCCGCCGGCGUUGAGGGAAAUCAGGUGCGUGUAUGUAUGUGUAUGUAUGAAUGUUGUUACAGGGUGGUUAACUUCGCCAGCGGCCCCCUUUCCCGGGGCAGUCCCUGCUCUCCCCUGCUAGAGGGGCACCCUAAUCCGUCACCUCAUCCGACUUCAGAAUGUAUUCGUUGGGUUCGGCAACUCACCACCAGCAUCCAACCAAACCUAGCGGAUCAACGGGGCAUCAACUUAGUUCCUGGUCAGCUCGCAAGUUGAUAUUAUCACGUCCUACAUCGUCCAUAUGAUGGGGGGCCUCCUCCCAUUUCCACACUCCUCAAACACCCGAGGAGCGGGCAGGCGGAUUUGAACCCGGGUCGGCCGGGAGCAGAAGUCAAGCCUUAACCUCUGCCAGCCG